rnacentral:lncRNA from 1 species
UUGGAAGACAUGAGGGGAGCCGAACAUACCUGAUCAAAGUACAGCUCACUCUCUUCGGCCAGUCAGUAACCAGAGAGGGCGGACACCUCAGAGGCCUGCACUGACGAAUCUGGGGAGAAAAACAUCUCACAACAUCUAGCAAUGCAUCUUCUCAUAUUCUGCCUCACGGAGACUGCUGCAGUUAACUUGGAGUCACUUAGAUAACACUCUCCUCAGACCAGCAGGUGGGAAGAGUGUAUCACUUUCAUAUUUACUGCCUUCAUUGAUAUAAAGCUCAUUUCUAGAAUAAAAUUC